rnacentral:rRNA from 1 species
AGUGAACGCUGGCGGCAGGCCUAACACAUGCAAGUCGGACGGUAGCACAGAGGAGCUUGCUCCUCGGGUGACGAGUGGCGGACGGGUGAGUAAUGUCUGGGGAUCUGCCCGAUAGAGGGGGAUAACCACUGGAAACGGUGGCUAAUACCGCAUAACGUCGCAAGACCAAAGAGGGGGACCUUCGGGCCUCCCACUAUGGGAUGAACCCAGAUGGGAUUAGCUAGUAGGCGAGGUAACGGCCCACCUAGGCGACGAUCCCUAGCUGGUCUGAGAGGAUGACCAGCCACACUGGAACUGAGACACGGUCCAGACUCCUACGGGAGGCAGCAGUGGGGAAUAUUGCACAAUGGGCGCAAGCCUGAUGCAGCCAUGCCGCGUGUAUGAAGAAGGCCUUCGGGUUGUAAAGUACUUUCAGCGGGGAGGAAGGCGAUGUGGUUAAUAACCGCGUCGAUUGACGUUACCCGCAGAAGAAGCACCGGCUAACUCCGUGCCAGCCGCCGCAGUAA